UCCGCCGCCGCACGCGAUUCUGAUCGACGCCAUGGCCGCUCGUUCGAGCGAAAGUGCUCCGGCGAAGUUGUGCCGCCGCCGGCACCGCCACCACAACCACUACCGCUCGAGGUCGGUGGAUUGGCGGUGGACGACGUCGCCCAGGCCAACAACAUCAUCCAGCGCCUCAACGACUUCCCCUCCAUGGCGCACAUCUCCGGGAUGGGCCUCACGGUCGUGCCGAUGAUCGCGGCCUUCUCCAACCUCUGCGCAGUUAACCUCUCCGGCACCGAUGAUGAAAUCAUUUCUGCUAUCGCUGCAUUACUACAUCCUCCGCUUGCUCAUAUAUCAUGCUAUGUAGGAUGUUUGCCUUUCUUCAUUCCGUGUCUGUGACCUCUAGCCAUUUGUCAGACGUUUUUUUUUUCUUAGUUUCAAUUUUGCCCGGCAUCUUGCUCGCUCCCUUGUUAUCCAGCUGACUUCUUGUUGACUGUUGCUUGUUACAGGAAUUGCCUUGCUCGUUUGCUCAAAGGUUCUGUAUCCCCAGAGUGUAUGUAUCACUCGGAACUGAGAGUCUGCUCCUGACAGGUACAUUUGUUUUCUAAUACCUACAUCUUAUAUCUAUGCACCAUCGAGGAUCUGAAAUCAGUUGUCCAGUUUGUCCCUCAAAGAACGUAGUUAGUCCUUUUCCUAUGGUGUAAGGACAUGCGUUUCGUAUACAUGAUUUCCCAGCAGCAAUUUAUACACAAGCUAACUCCAAAGAGAUGACUGAUCAGGCUAAUCGCAAAGCUAUUCAGGGAGGGAAGGCGUAGUACUAGAAGAGGAAAAGACGCAGAUGUUGUCAUCUUGACACCUGACACUUGAACCAUCUUGCCAGAAUAUCUGAAAUACGAAUUUGUGAAAAUGUUCUACCAUACUCUAUAUCCAUCUCAGAUUAAAUUCCAAACAUGCAACCCACUUUUAAGACCGUCAUGAAAGAGUUGAGAUGGUGGUCCUUUUAGGACACCUUUUUUUGUUACUAUAAGAAAUUGUCUUCGUAUUUAUUUAUGUAUGUAUAUUAUGAACAAUUUUUCAUCCUACAAUGUUUUUUGGGUUAUUACUUAUUACUUACUAACUGGAGCACCUCAUGUUUUUAAAAGGAAACUAACAUGAAACAACUUAUUUCAGUAUGUUUAUCUUCCCCUAUGAUGUAUAUUUAGUCAAGUUUAGCCUUUGCGAUGGAAUUGUAUAUAACAACAUUAGUUGUCCUGUUCACUUUCAACAAUGAACAACAAAGAUUUCACCGCCAGAAAAAAAAAGAUAUGGAUUAGCAUCCCUCUAGACAAUUAAGAAAAUGCAAUCGUUUCAAGGAUUUCAGUCAUCCCUUGUGGCUUUAGGAACUAUAUAACAACAACGUCCGUAUGUAUUUUUAUACAGUUUUUUCUUCUGUAGUUAAGAUUUUCUUGUGCAAUGUAUCUAAUAUCAAUCAUGUACAUUUUUUUGUAUGUGCUUAUACCUUGAAAUAAUAGAGCCAUUUUACUGAACACCAAAGGCAAUAACAAAGGCAAUUUUUAUCCCUUGUGGCUGAAUUUUUUCUGAAUCAGUUUAACUGUGUUGGUCAUACAAUUCGCUCGGAGCAAGAACAAAUUCAACAAGGCAAUAAAACAAAGCGUGGAGCGCCUAAAGGACAUCCAAUACUCUCAGGGAAUUCGAGGAGGUACUGCUCUUUUACUGAACAACAUGGUCACGCUUUUUUAUUGAGAGAAGCAUGCUCACCUUGAGGCAUCCUGCGGCCAUGUAUGACGUUGUGAUAGUCAUAUGCUGAUUUUGUGAGAUAUCAUGGUGUCCUUGACUUUGAACAUUAGUUAUAAAUAAGAUGAGAAGUUGUAUCGAUAGCAUCGGUUUUAUUCCCUUGCAUCAAAAUGAAGAAUUUCCUCGCUAGAUUUUCAUAACAUAAAUAUACCACCCGGAUCGCUGCCGAAGGUUCUGCACUCGUUGGAUAUGUCACGGAACAAGAUAACAAAUGUCGAGGGGCUCCGGGAACUAAUGAAGCUGCGCGUGCUCAACCUCAGCCACAACUGGAUUUCAUCCACAUCAGCCUGGGUACAUACUUGCAGAUAACAUGAUGGUAAGAAGGCAAGAAGCAGGUACCUGUAUAGGUGGGUUUUUGGAGUCUCAGAGGGGCACAUAUGAAGUAUCCACGCUAAAAGCAUGCCGAGUACCUCAUGGCUUGUAUCAGUGCCCAGCUUGACGGCGAACUAUUCUCUGAAAAGCUUGCUAAUGAAUCUCUGUUCAAUUAUUGGGGGCUACAUUCCUUCUAAACUUCUGCGGCGUUAUCAACGCGAUCUUAAAGUGCAAGGUGUGUGCGCACAUAUAACACUUAGAAGAUUAUUGUGAAUCUUAAGGAAGGAGCACAUCUCAAGGCUAAGCAUUUUGUGCUCUUAUCUUGGGUAAUAUCCGCUCUUUAAUAUACAAGAAGUUCAACUCUGGAGUAGUUGUCAGGAAAGCAAAGAUCUAAGUCAGGUAAGGUAGUAUGUAUGCAUCUUCAGUUACUAUUUUUGCAGCAUGUCUGAAGGUAAAAAUAGCAGCCUGAUGCCAUGUACAACACUACAAAAUGAAGGGUUUUCCAGCAUGAGUGGCAGGAGAUGCAAAUCAAGAAAUUUGCAUACUGUAAAGUGUGCUCCUUCAUGUAGCUACAUAUAUUGUCUUGGUUAAGGAAAUUCUAAAAUGAAUGUUUGCUGAAAUUCUCAUGUAGAUUUAAAUAUUAGCUUUGAAUCAUGUUUCAAAUACCAGCAUAUAGGCAGCCUUGAAAGAGAUCAUGAGA